rnacentral:rRNA from 1 species
UACGAAGGGGGCUAGCGUUGCUCGGAAUCACUGGGCGUAAAGCGCACGUAGGCGGAUUGCUAAGUCAGGGGUGAAAUCCUGGAGCUCAACUCCAGAACUGCCUUUGAUACUGGCGACCUUGAGUCCGGGAGAGGUGAGUGGAACUGCGAGUGUAGAGGUGAAAUUCGUAGAUAUUCGCAAGAACACCAGUGGCGAAGGCGGCUCACUGGCCCGGUACUGACGCUGAGGCGCGAAAGCUAGGGGAGCAACGGG